GACGAACGCUGGCGGCGUGCUUAACACAUGCAAGUCGAACGGAAAGGCCCUGCUUUUGUGGGGUGCUCGAGUGGCGAACGGGUGAGUAACACGUGAGUAACCUGCCCUUGACUUUGGGAUAACUUCAGGAAACUGGGGCUAAUACCGGAUAGGAGCUCCUGCUGCAUGGUGGGGGUUGGAAAGUUUCGGCGGUUGGGGAUGGACUCGCGGCUUAUCAGCUUGUUGGUGGGGUAGUGGCUUACCAAGGCUUUGACGGGUAGCCGGCCUGAGAGGGUGACCGGACACACUGGGAGUGAAAUAAGGCCCAGACUACUACGGGAGGCAGCAGUAGGGAAUAUUGCAAAAUGGGCGGAAGCCUGAUGCAGCAACGCAGCGUGCGGGAUAACGGCCUUCGGGUUGUAAACCGCUUUCGCCUGUGACGAAGCGUGAGUGACGGUAAUGGGUAAAGAAGCACCGGCUAACUACGUG
rnacentral:rRNA from 1 species